rnacentral:rRNA from 1 species
GUGGGGAAUUUUGCGCAAUGGGGGAAACCCUGACGCAGCAACGCCGCGUGGAGGAUGAAGUCCCUUGGGACGUAAACUCCUUUCGAUCGGGACGAUAAUGACGGUACCGGAAGAAGAAGCACCGGCUAACUCUGUGCCAGCAGCCGCGGUAAUACAGAGGGUGCAAGCGUUGUUCGGAAUUAUUGGGCGUAAAGGGCGCGUAGGCGGUGCGGUAAGUCUCCAGUGAAAUCUCUGGGCUCAACUCAGAGCGGUCUGGGGAAACUGCCGUGCUCGAGUGUGGGAGAGGCGAGUGGAAUUCCCGGUGUAGCGGUGAAAUGCGUAGAGAUCGGGAGGAACACCAGUGGCGAAAGCGGCUCGCUGGACCACAACUGACGCUGAUGCGCGAAAGCUAGGGGAGCAAACAGGAUUAGAAACCCUGGUAGUCC